rnacentral:misc_RNA from 1 species
GCCACCACAUUCAUAUUCAGCGAAUGCGCGAGGUUGAUGAUGGUGGACACCAGGGACAGCCCCUCGGGUCCGGCGGUCAUGUCGGUCACGAACGAGCGGUCGAUCUUCAGGGUGUCCACCGGCAGUUUGGCGAGGUGACUGAGCGAGGAGAAGCCGGUGCCGAAGUCGUCGAUGCUUAUGGUUACGCCCAUCUCGCGGAUCGCCUGGAGGAUAUCGAUACUGCG